CCUACGGGUGGCAGCAGUGGGGAAUAUUGCACAAUGGGCGAAAGCCUGAUGCAGCAACGCCGCGUGAAGGAAGAAGGCCUUCGGGUCGUAAACCUCCGUCCAUGGGGAAGAAGAACUGACGGUACAUAAGGAGGAAGCUCCGGCUAACUACGUGCCAGCAGCCGCGGUAAUACGUAGGGGGCAAGCGUUACCCGGAAUUAUUGGGCGUAAAGAGUACGUAGGUGGCAACCUAAGCGCAGGGUUUAAGGCAAUGGCUCAACCAUUGUUCGCCGUGCGAACUGGGAUGCUUGAGUGCAGGAGAGGAAGGCGGAAUUCCUGGUGUAGCGGUGAAAUGCGUAGAUAUUAGGAGGAACACCAGUGGCGAAGGCGGCUUGCUGGACUGUAACUGACGCUGAGGUACGAAAGCGUGGGGAGCAAACAGGAUUAGAUACCCGAGUAGUC
rnacentral:rRNA from 1 species